CCUACGGGUGGCAGCAGUGAGGAAUAUUGGUCAAUGGGCGCGAGCCUGCACCAGCCAAGUAGCGUGAAGGAUGACUGCCCUACGGGUUGUAAACUUCUUUUAUAAAGGAAUACAGUGCGGCACGUGUGCCUUUUUGUAUUUACUUUAUGAAUAAAGAUCGGCUCACUCCGUUCCAGCAGCCGCGGUAAUCCGGAGAGUCCGAGCGUUAACCUGAUUUAUUGGGUUUAAAUGGAGCGUAGAUGGUUUGUUAAGUCAGUUGUGAAAGUUUGGUGCUCAACCGUAAAAUUGCAAUUGAUACUGGCAGUCUGGAGUGCAGGUGAGGUAGGCGGAAUUCGUGGUGUAGCAGUGAAAUGCUUAGAUAUCACGAAGAACUCCGAUUGCGAAGGCAGCUUACUAAACUGCAACUGACAUUGAUGCGCGAAAGUGUGGGUAUCAAACAGGAUUAGAUACCCUUGUAGUC
rnacentral:rRNA from 1 species